CUUAAAAAGGUUUGGCCUUCCUUUAAUAAAUAUACGGGAUUUUGGACAAAUAACCUCUAAACAUUUAAAAAUAAAUAAAGAAAUGAAACAUAAAAAGUGUACAUAAAUAAUAGAAAAAAUUACCUAGACAAAGGGUAUGACUAGUUUCUUCUCUACCAUCCGCAAACACAGCUUUUGCGGUUUGUAGCGGCUGUUGACGUUUUACAACAAUCACUCAAACUGCUCUAAACUGCAUUAAACCGUUCUAAAUUUCAUAAAUUCAAAAGUUGGUUUAGGCUAGCGUUUGCGUUUGCAGGAGGAUAAUUUUUUUCCUUAAAAAAAAAUAAAAAUAAAAAUAAAAAUAAAAAUUGAAAUAAAAAUUGUAAUAAUACUAAUAUAUAUAUAUAUAUAUAUAUUAUUUUAAUUAAUAAUAUAAAUUUAAAAAAUAAAAAUAUUUUCUAUAAUUUUUAAAAUUUAAAACUAUAAAUUUAUAAAUAUAAUUUGUAUAUGUAAUAUAAUAUUAUGAUUUUUGAUAUUUUGUAAUUAUAUAAAAUGUAAAUAUUGUUAAUUUAUUAUUUAACCUCUUGUGCUUUUUGGUAAUUAACCAGUCAUUAGUAUCCCGC
rnacentral:lncRNA from 1 species